GCCGAAGCCGCCGGAAGCCCUUUCCCUCCCUCCUCAGGGCAGAGCUGCCCCGGCUUCCGCUUUGAGGAGAUUAAACGCCACCCUUUCCCACACUCCCCGAGGUCCAUCCUGAACCCCACCUUCUCUCCAGAAGCCUGCCUGGACCUCCCCAGCCCCGGGAAGGCCCUGUGCAGUCAUCUCUUAGGCACUUGGAAUUGUUUUCUUUUCUUUUAAAGACUGGAAGAAGAGACUCCCGCAGGAUGACGAGGCUGCCUGGGGUGGUGAGAAAACUGAAUCCACUGGUAUCUGUAAAGAAGUCUGAUUUAGCCCCAAUUAUGAGAACUCCACUGUUGCCUCAGAAAUAUCAAGUAAGUGAUUUCGAUCCUAUGAUACUUUUAGUAUCCUAGCCUGUUGUUCAGAUGCACUGGUUGGAAUCCU
rnacentral:lncRNA from 1 species